rnacentral:rRNA from 1 species
GAUGAACGCUGGCGGCGUGCCUAACACAUGCAAGUCGAACGGUCACCUUGGAUUCGUCCGGGGUGAGAGUGGCAAACGGGUGAGUAACACGUAGGUGACCUGCCCCAAAGAGGGGAAUAACUGCUGGAAACGGUGGCUAAUACCCCAUGGUCUCGGUGGUUCAUUUCACCGAGUAAAGCUCCGGCGCUUUGGGAGGGGCCUGCGGCCCAUCAGGUAGUUGGUAGGGUAACGGCCUACCAAGCCGAUGACGGGUAGGGGGCGUGAGAGCGUGAUCCCCCACACUGGCACUGAGACACGGACCAGACUCCUACGGGUGGCAG